GGGUCGCUGCUGGAGCCCGGCACGCGGAGUGGGAGUGGGGCUGCGGCAGGCGCAGCCAAGCGGCUCCGCUGCGCCGGAUAAAAGAUUCUCCCAGGGGGCAUCUCCCUGUCCUUGGCCAGAUGGUCUCGACACGUGCGGGCACCUCUAACCCAGAAAGGAGUGAAGGACAAAAUCCAUCUGAGUUCCCUUGAGAUUACCAUAAUAUGAAGGCAUAAUUCCUCCAAAGUGCUAUGCCAUACCUUUCUCUUGUGUACAUUCGGAAACAGAAGCCAUCUCUGACCCGCCCAGCUCUUCCCUGGCGCUGCAAAGCACUGGCUUUACUGACAAACGUCUCGACCAACGAACUCAUCUGACUGCUUUCAUGGACAGUGGCAUACUAUCACAUCUAUCAAAGAAAACGCGAAAAGUGCCUGAAAUGUGCUACUGAUCAACCAAUAGCAGUGAAAACUCAUAUACGAUACACAUUCCAUUUGGAUCACAAAAGCAAAGGUGAGUAAUGUCACCAUCAUUCAUG